rnacentral:miRNA from 16 species
AGGUCAGGAUUGGUGGCAAUGCU